UUAAUAGAAGAAUGCAACAGGAAUUUGCUUGCGCUUCCUGAGAAGGCGGCUGUGUGUGUGUUGUGUCGUGCGUUCUGUGUUCCAUGCCAUGUCGUCCAUCGAUAGGAACCAACUCGAUCGCAUCGGCGCUCUCUUGGAUUACCACAAGACAAGCCUUCUCCUCCCAAAACGAAGUCACUCAGGCACACAGCGUAGGACGAGAGGAAUGGAAGGCGUCGCCCCGGCUCUACUGAAAUCUAUUGGGACCAAAUUAAGUGAAUUGAAAGGCAAACGAAACCAUGGAAAUAAAAUUGUCGACUGAAUCUUA